rnacentral:lncRNA from 1 species
AUGGCUUUGCCUAUUGACCAUGCACAACAUCCUGUGUAAUGUAAAUGUGCUUAAGGAAGGAGUAAUUUAAAUGGAAGAUAAAAUACAGAAGUAAAAAAGAAAAUAAAGAAGGAAAUAAACGUGAUUCUUUUCAAAGUUCUUUUUGAGAUAUUACAGCAAUACAAAUGAAAUCAUAUCUCUUGUACACAGCAGCUGGGGAGUAAGAGGGCACUCUGUAGGUACUUUUUCUGGUCCUUCUAGGUUGUAGUACCAACCAUUAGCUGAAUCUUCAUGAAUCUAAUGGAGAAGAUACUCAGGAAUCUGUAGUGUCCAUUUCUUAAUCUUUGUAGGUUUGAGGAGAUAUAUUGUGAAAAUAAGCAGGAGAGGGAAAUGCAACUGACAUCAUUCAGCACAAAGUACAUAGAAUGCUACGUCCCCUGUGGGUAUCAGUGGCCUUGCCAAUUGCAGGGCAGAUACGUACAUAUUUUUAUCUUUCAUUUUGACUUUAAACUGUGCUAUUUGUAAGAAAUGGUCAUUGUCUUGAGUUGGUUUUGUGUACAAGUGCAUAUGAGAAUGUAUUCCAACAAUUAUUUUCUGGAUGCUUUAAGAAAAAACAAAAUCACCUCCCGCUGAUAAGAAGUCUUCAAAGGAGACUGGAUUUGGUAUACCAAAAUUCAUGGUGGACUGAUUAACAAGAGCCCCAUAGUGCUGUGUCUGCUCCAUCCUCAGAUAAUAUGUUUAUAAUACAUUAAAUAUAUCAGAAUUGGGAAAUGCAUAAAUGGAUACUACUGUGUUUACCAAGUAUUUCUUGGAGAAGAGAGAUGAUUCCUGGGGUAAGACUUUCUCCCAUGAGUAGUGGUGGUGUCUGAUUGUGGAGAAAUCAUGCUGCUCUCAGCAGGUGUGGGAGGAGGAGGAGCCCAGGGGACCUGUCAAUGUUGUGCCUGCAUUUCAUGUGUAGCAAGCUAUUUUCAUUAAGAUUGCAUGUAUAUGUAGAAUAAUUUGAAGGAGAGGAUCAUGGAGAAAAACCCCACUUCUACUUGCACAUGUGUUUACACACACACACACACACACACACACACAGAGCCACUGUAUGUAACUCAGGAUGAGAGAAAUAUUAGGAACUAGGUGGAUAGAGCCUGUACAAAGUAAAAUAUAUUCAGUCUUAUCUGUUGGACUGUAAGAAAAACUAUAUGUUCAUAUUUCAUUUGAAUUCUUUAACUUAUUAUAAGUUACUCCAGUUGUUGAGUAAAGUCUGGAAUAUCUUGACAGAUCUGUAUUGUGGUGGUACACGUAGAAGUGAGGGGUGGCAAUAUAAAGGAAAAUCAGUAGGGUGACCAUACCCUUUGUUUUUCAAGCAGAGACAAUUUUGCAGAAAGAAAGAAAGUGCUGGUAAUAAAUAUUCCAAGGCAACUGUUAAAACCCAGGUUGACCAGCACCUAUUGUCGUCCGAAAAAUGAGGCCUCCCUUUUUGGAGAUGAUAGCCUUGCAGAGGACUCUGUCUUGUUACAGCAAUGUGUAGAAGCAUUCUGAGUCUGUGUGUUCUAGGGUGUGAGCAGAAGUGAAGAAAUGAUCUGUGACAGAGGACAGAGCAAUGGUAGGGAUCUGGGAUCAUGAUGGCCAAUCGUAACCCCUCUUUUCAUUCAUUUCCCCUCAUUUACUCCAAAUAACUAAAGGAAUCUUUUGGUUUUUGUCUCUGACUGACUUGUUUCAUUUAGCAUAAUACUCUCAGGUUCCAUCUGUAUUGUAGCAAAAGGCAGGCUUUCCUACUUUUUUAUGACUGAGUAGUAUCCACUCUACAUUUUUCUUUUCAUAUAUUUAUGUAUAUGUGUGUGUGAACACACAUAUAUACAAAGUAAUAUGUAUAUCCGUUGAUGGAAACUUAGGUUGUUUCCAUGUCUUGGCUACUGUUAAUAGUACUGCAAUGAAUAUGAGAUACAGAUAUCUUUGGGAGUUAGUAAUUUUAUUUCCUUUAGCUAUAUACCCAGAAGUAGAAUUUCUGGAUCAUAUGGUGAUUAUAUUCUAAUUUUUUGAGGAGCUUCUAUACUGUUUUCCAUAGUGGCUACACCAAUUUAUAUUUCCACCAACAUUCAUGAGAUGUAAUACAGAGCAUAGAGAUUAUAGCUGACUAUACUACAUUGUAUAUUUGAAAGUUACUAAGAGAGUUCUCGUCACAAGGAAUAAUCAUUUCUCUCUAUAUGAGGUGAUGGAUGUUAACACAACUUAUUGUAAUUAAUUUAUAAUAUAUGCAUGUAUUAAACCAUUAGAUUGUAUACCUUAAACUUAUAAAAUGUCAUGUAUCAAUUAUAUCUCAAUAAAAAUGGAGAAAAACAUACUAAACCCAUACUUUAUGUGGGUUACAAAAGAAAGAGCUGUGGUGAAAACAUUGAAAUAAGUGACCAGGGCAGCCAGUAAGUCAAAAAAAAUAUGUUCAUAUAGAAAUCCUCAUUUCACUAUGCACAGAUUCUUAAAAAAAGGAUGAAGGAAAAUCCUUCCUUACAUAAGCUUUCUUUUAUUGCUUGCUCUCCAGAGAGAGAGAGAAUGAGCUGCGGUUUUUGAGAAGUUGGUGAUUUAGUGGAGAAGUUGGUAAACCAUGUACAAAGUUCCUUCUGUCCUUUCUCAGUAGGUGCCAUGGGUACUGGAGUGUCUGGCUGGGGUGGGUCCUGCCAUCUGGUGACCCUGUUGGCAUGUAAUCAUCCUCCACUUUCUAUUCCGAAGGAAAAUACUUACAACUUUCUCACUAGAAAAGACAAUUCCACUUAAUAUUCUUGGAGGUAGAAUCUGUCUCAGCAAGAUAGAAUUAUUUAGCUUCUUUGAGUUUAGAUUCCAGAAAUGGCUAUAAAACUAUCAUUUGUAAGGACAUGCCACUAUAAUUUAUAUAGACAGAGGUCAUUAUAGUGAUUCAGUGUUCCAAUCAUCUUGAUAAUGGAUCCUAAUUAUUAUACUCUUCUAGUACCUAAAAACAAUUGCAAACUAGAAUGAAAACCAUUUGAAGAACAAGAAUAUUUUAAUAUUUCUAUUUUUAUCACAACUCUGAUUUUUGAAGAAAAAAGUAAAUUAGAACUGCUAAUUAUGCAAAUCACAGAUGACCUUGUGGCUAUAAGAUGGACUGCAGAGGCAAGGCUUUUGUUAGCAAUUUAAGGUUUAUAGCUCUGAGACUUGGAGAAGAACCUAUGGGGAGAACAAGUCCCAGCUGCCAAAAUCAGAGAUUAAAAAGUGAUUAGAUUUCUUUCUUCUUUGAAAACUGAGACCCAAAUUCAGCCUUCUUGUUUACUCCUAAGAGAGCCUUCACCUAUUAGCCCUAGCUUGCUUAUGUCAUUCCUAUAUCAGUGCUUCUGGCUAGAGACCCAAAGAAAAGAACAUGUGGAAGGACUGCUAAAUCCCCUGGCACCUGCUAAUAAAGGCAAACACACUUGUGUUAGGAACCAGGGCCUCCCAACAAGGGGAGAGGGCAGACUUCCCAUCCUAAUCAGAAUUCCUUCCCAAAACAAAAGAAGAGUGAUUUUCAACUUAUACCACCACUUACUCUCUUUCCUUUCUGUUUUUGUUUGUUUUGUUUAUCUCCCGCUUUCUUCUAAAAUGUUAAGUUUAGAUUUUUGAGUGUACCUUCAAUCCUUUUAUCUUGUCGCUUUCUUGUUGUUUACUGAUAUCCUGACAAUUCUUACCACUGUUGAUGUUGUUGUUUCUGAACAUCUGUCUUUUUAAUUUUUUUUCUUCUGUAUCAAAUACUUCCAAGCUCCUUUCUACCUCACUGUUAAAUUUGCUUCUAAAAUCACAGGGGUAUUAUAAUUCAUCACACAUAGAAAUUGAAAUAUUUCUUGCAUCCAGGAAUUACAUAUUUGUAAGCCCUUCUUCAAGACUCUGAUUCUCUGUCUCUAUAUCUAUCUUAAUCUCUGUUUUUGUCCCCAACCUCGUCCCCCUCUUCAUCUAUCUCACGUUCAAUAUACAACUUGCCAAAUGUUUAUGUAAAAGGCAGACUUUAAACUUUUAGAACUAAUUUUGCUUUCUAAGCAAUCAUCCUAUGUGGAUGUUGAAAAAAUGGAAAAUUUCCAAUUAAUAAUAUGCUUGCUGGUCUCUCAUUCUUUUUCUAUGAAUUUCACAGUAAGUUCUGAAUUCAUCUCCCUCUUAAGGCUAGUUUAAAUAGUUGCUGCCUGAACAACUCUGAUCUGUUUUUAGAUAAAGUCUUUCAGAGGUCCUUUCACUUACUUGGCUAUUUUCCAAGAUGGUGAUGGUCUCCCUAACACAUUAGGAUCAUCUGGCUGGGGAGCUAUUAAAAACUCUGAUACCUAGGUCACCCCGGACAUCAUUCAUAUGAGAAUCUCUGAGACCACAGAAUCAGUUUUUAUAAAGCUUUCAACGUGUCUGAAAAGUGUUACCAAUAUGGGGACAUCCUGUAUCUGGAAAGACCUUACAGGUAACUGACUCAGCCGCUCGGCAUGCCCCCUAAACAUACCUGGAGACUUUCAAAGCCACAUAGCCAUGGGCUACCCCAGCUUUGGGGUCAAUAUUGUCUUAAUUCACUGUGAUUUGGGGUGAGAUAAGGAGCACCAAGGCAGUACCAAGAAGUUAAUGUUAUUUUGCACUCACUAUAUGCCAUUUACAUUAUUAAGUGUUUAUGAAGCUUCUUCAUUGCAACCCCAACACCUAUUAUUCCAUUUACAGGCAGUGAAAUUGAAGCUUAGAGAAACAAGGUAGCAUGCCCAAGGUCAUAAAGUUGAUAUAUGAAAGAGCUUAAUGUUCUUCUGAUGUUAAAAACCUCUGCUCUUAUAGCCAUGCACUGUAUUGACUUCCUCCAUUUAUGAUACUUAGAAUAAAGUCACUCUGCUCACAUGGCUCAAGAGAGUAACUAGUUAGUCGUCAUUGCUCCCUGGUCUGUUAUGCCUUCUCCACUGCACAUUUCCCACCCUUGCGCUUGCCUGGUUCAAGGUUCAACCACCCGCAGUCCUAUUGCUGUGCCCUUUUUGAUUCCAGAUGCUGCCAUGGUAGUUAAUCCUUACACCUGACUAUCAGUAGCUCACUUGGCUUUCAUGAGUCAGUUUCCAAUUCUUUGAAAUAGUCACUGGACUCUGUGUCUACUGCUGACAUUGGCUUCCACUCUCACAGAAUCUUUGCCAUUGCCCUUGUUCAAAUAUAUGCCAUUCACUAAAGUUUAGCAAGAACACACAGUCACAUUAGUUUCACUAACCACCUCCACAAAGAGCAAGCACCUGGCAAUUUCUUCUACCUUAGGAGCACAUGAUUCUCUCUUCCAUACAUAUCCUUUGUAUAUCUCAAACGAAAAGUUUCAGAAUAUCUACAUUAGGAACUCUUAAUAUUGAGUUGUUCUGUUUAGAAGAGAGAAUAUUUUAAGGCAGAGUUUACUCUAUUUCAAAUAAAAUGGGCCUGUAAUAAGACUCCAUCAAACCAUCUAUUCUAAGCCUCUCUGAUCUCAUGACAUUUUAAUACAAACUAUAACAUCAUUUUCUCCAAAUCUUCAUGGUGAAUGCUGUUUAAAUUAUUCCUCAUUAUAUAGUUUAUGAAAAUACAUUCUCCUAUAUAAAAAUGGGAGUAAUUUUUAGCAGCAGGCUGCAUUUAAUAUGUUAGAUUUAAUAAACAAAAUCACAUUUGUAUGUGGGGUAUUUUCCCAGAACAUAAUCAAGUAUGACAGGUUGGUUAUGAGGAGCUCAGUUCCUUGAUGUAUGUAUCAGCUUAAGAGCUUGUCACCAACCUUGACGCAUUAAUUCUAGCACUUUGUGCAAGCAAAACUUCCUGUUGUCUGCAAAACACUGUGAGCCAUUUAGCACAAGACAAGCUUUUAGCUCAUGCUACUUCUGUGACUGCACAUUCUGAAUGCAAAUACAACUCUGCAGUGGUUGCUGGCAUCAGAAUAUUAACAUAAGAAAUGUUUUCUGCCCUAUCAUGUCAGGCUAUGUCUAGGAAACAUGUUUGGUGCUCAUCAUCUCACUUUGUGUUGUUUCUACUUGAUUCCAAGACGAUUUUUAGAAAAUGACUUCAUACUCAAGGUCAGAUUGCUUUUUAGCCAAUAAAUGGUGAGUGAACUGGCAUUUUUCAAAAUCCUGCUUUAGAUAAUGGGUUCUCUCUGCCCCGCUAACUGCCCUGGUUAGAUAAUUAGACUUUGUGGUUAAGGUCAGAUUCAAGGGAAAGAAUUUACACUGUGUUGCCUGAGUCUGGUCUAAAUUGUAUGUAAUACUAAAAAAUAGUAAUUACCUGAUGCACUUCUAAUGUGCACCCAAUGGGGGAAUGACUGUGAAAUUUUAAAUUAAGGGUAAUUUUAUGAGGUUAACUUCGAAACAGAUUCAUGAGGGCUCAAAGAUCAUUUUGGUAUAAAUUCAGGCUGUUUCUAUAAUUUCUUAUGGGUUUAUUAUUUAUAAACCUUGCUUGGUGACUUGUCAUUUCAGAAAGAUCAGGUAGUAUAUUUCUUCCCAAGGCUCACCUCUUACUACAUUGUUCAGUAAGACAAAUUUAUUUCUGAUGUUUUCUUUCACCUUCUUCUUAUUGGAACCCUUCCUAUAACUCAAAGAUCCUCCUUCUGCCUCCUUCUGGUAUUUUCUCUCUGCUAAUUCCAGACUAGUCUUUAGCUGAUCCUCCUUUAAAUUAUUUGAUCCUGGAAGCAAUUGGUUUAAACUCAACAAAUGUUCAAGAGUAACCCUAAUUUUCUCCUAAUCUUUAAGGAGAAUAGAUAAAUAUUUGACA